GGUAAAAUGGCUGAGUUAAGGCAUUAGACUGUAAAUCUAAAGACAGAGGGUGAAACCUUCUUUUUACCA
rnacentral:tRNA from 1 species